rnacentral:rRNA from 1 species
GAGGCCGGGUAUUGGAAUGGGUACAAUUUAAACCCUUUAACGAGUAUCUAUGAGAGGGCAAGUCUGGUGCCAGCAGCCGCGGUAAUUCCAGCUCUCAAAAUGCAUAGAAUUAUUGCUGCGGUUAAAAAGCUCGUAGUUGGAUCUGUGCCGGCCGGCCGGUCCACCCAUUGGGUGCGUACUGGUUCGGCUGGCUUUUCCGCCGGAGUGCCUUGCGUUGGUCGCCUUCGCGGGUGGCCAGCGCGGGUCCGGCAAGUUUACUUUGAACAAAUCAGAGUGCUUCAAACAGGCGUCUCGCCUGAAUGUUCGUGCAUGGAAUAAUAGAAGAGGAUCACGGUCCGAUUUUAUUGGUUUUGCUGACCGAGAUAAUGGUUAACAGAGACAAACGGGGCCAUUCGUAUUGCUGCGUGAGAGGUGAAAUUCUUGGACCGUAGCAAGACGGACUACAGCGAAAGCAUUUGGCAAGAAUGUCUUCAUUAAUCAAGAACGAAAGUCAGAGGUUCGAAGGCGAUCAGAUACCGCCCUAGUUCUGACCGUAAACGAUGCCAACUAGCGAUCCGCCGGCGGAUUCAUUCGCCCUGGUGGGGGAGCUUCCCGGAAACGAAAGUCUUCCGGUUCCGGGGGAAGUUAUGGUUGCAAAGCUGAAACUUAAAGGAAUUGACGGAAGGGCACCACCAGGAGUGGA